GGUUAAGCGACUAAGCGUACACGGUGGAUGCCCUGGCAGUCAGAGGCGAUGAAGGACGUGCUAAUCUGCGAUAAGCGUCGGUAAGGUGAUAUGAACCGUUAUAACCGGCGAUUUCCGAAUGGGGAAACCCAGUGUGUUUCGACACACUAUCAUUAACUGAAUCCAUAGGUUAAUGAGGCGAACCGGGGGAACUGAAACAUCUAAGUACCCCGAGGAAAAGAAAUCAACCGAGAUUCCCCCAGUAGCGGCGAGCGAACGGGGAGCAGCCCAGAGCCUGAAUCAGUGUGUGUGUUAGUGGAAGCGUCUGGAAAGGCGCGCGAUACAGGGUGACAGCCCCGUACACAAAAAUGCACAUGCUGUGAGCUCGAUGAGUAGGGCGGGACACGUGGUAUCCUGUCUGAAUAUGGGGGGACCAUCCUCCAAGGCUAAAUACUCCUGACUGACCGAUAGUGAACCAGUACCGUGAGGGAAAGGCGAAAAGAACCCCGGCGAGGGGAGUGAAAAAGAACCUGAAACCGUGUACGUACAAGCAGUGGGAGCACGCUUAGGCGUGUGACUGCGUACCUUUUGUAUAAUGGGUCAGCGACUUAUAUUCUGUAGCAAGGUUAACCGAAUAGGGGAGCCGAAGGGAAACCGAGUCUUAACUGGGCGUUAAGUUGCAGGGUAUAGACCCGAAACCCGGUGAUCUAGCCAUGGGCAGGUUGAAGGUUGGGUAACACUAACUGGAGGACCGAACCGACUAAUGUUGAAAAAUUAGCGGAUGACUUGUGGCUGGGGGUGAAAGGCCAAUCAAACCGGGAGAUAGCUGGUUCUCCCCGAAAGCUAUUUAGGUAGCGCCUCGUGAAUUCAUCUCCGGGGGUAGAGCACUGUUUCGGCAAGGGGGUCAUCCCGACUUACCAACCCGAUGCAAACUGCGAAUACCGGAGAAUGUUAUCACGGGAGACACACGGCGGGUGCUAACGUCCGUCGUGAAGAGGGAAACAACCCAGACCGCCAGCUAAGGUCCCAAAGUCAUGGUUAAGUGGGAAACGAUGUGGGAAGGCCCAGACAGCCAGGAUGUUGGCUUAGAAGCAGCCAUCAUUUAAAGAAAGCGUAAUAGCUCACUGGUCGAGUCGGCCUGCGCGGAAGAUGUAACGGGGCUAAACCAUGCACCGAAGCUGCGGCAGCGACACUAUGUGUUGUUGGGUAGGGGAGCGUUCUGUAAGCCUGUGAAGGUGUGCUGUGAGGUAUGCUGGAGGUAUCAGAAGUGCGAAUGCUGACAUAAGUAACGAUAAAGCGGGUGAAAAGCCCGCUCGCCGGAAGACCAAGGGUUCCUGUCCAACGUUAAUCGGGGCAGGGUGAGUCGACCCCUAAGGCGAGGCCGAAAGGCGUAGUCGAUGGGAAACAGGUUAAUAUUCCUGUACUUGGUGUUACUGCGAAGGGGGGACGGAGAAGGCUAUGUUGGCCGGGCGACGGUUGUCCCGGUUUAAGCGUGUAGGCUGGUUUUCCAGGCAAAUCCGGAAAAUCAAGGCUGAGGCGUGAUGACGAGGCACUACGGUGCUGAAGCAACAAAUGCCCUGCUUCCAGGAAAAGCCUCUAAGCAUCAGGUAACAUCAAAUCGUACCCCAAACCGACACAGGUGGUCAGGUAGAGAAUACCAAGGCGCUUGAGAGAACUCGGGUGAAGGAACUAGGCAAAAUGGUGCCGUAACUUCGGGAGAAGGCACGCUGAUAUGUAGGUGAAGUCCCUCGCGGAUGGAGCUGAAAUCAGUCGAAGAUACCAGCUGGCUGCAACUGUUUAUUAAAAACACAGCACUGUGCAAACACGAAAGUGGACGUAUACGGUGUGACGCCUGCCCGGUGCCGGAAGGUUAAUUGAUGGGGUUAGCCGCAAGGCGAAGCUCUUGAUCGAAGCCCCGGUAAACGGCGGCCGUAACUAUAACGGUCCUAAGGUAGCGAAAUUCCUUGUCGGGUAAGUUCCGACCUGCACGAAUGGCGUAAUGAUGGCCAGGCUGUCUCCACCCGAGACUCAGUGAAAUUGAACUCGCUGUGAAGAUGCAGUGUACCCGCGGCAAGACGGAAAGACCCCGUGAACCUUUACUAUAGCUUGACACUGAACAUUGAGCCUUGAUGUGUAGGAUAGGUGGGAGGCUUUGAAGUGUGGACGCCAGUCUGCAUGGAGCCGACCUUGAAAUACCACCCUUUAAUGUUUGAUGUUCUAACGUUGACCCGUAAUCCGGGUUGCGGACAGUGUCUGGUGGGUAGUUUGACUGGGGCGGUCUCCUCCUAAAGAGUAACGGAGGAGCACGAAGGUUGGCUAAUCCUGGUCGGACAUCAGGAGGUUAGUGCAAUGGCAUAAGCCAGCUUGACUGCGAGCGUGACGGCGCGAGCAGGUGCGAAAGCAGGUCAUAGUGAUCCGGUGGUUCUGAAUGGAAGGGCCAUCGCUCAACGGAUAAAAGGUACUCCGGGGAUAACAGGCUGAUACCGCCCAAGAGUUCAUAUCGACGGCGGUGUUUGGCACCUCGAUGUCGGCUCAUCACAUCCUGGGGCUGAAGUAGGUCCCAAGGGUAUGGCUGUUCGCCAUUUAAAGUGGUACGCGAGCUGGGUUUAGAACGUCGUGAGACAGUUCGGUCCCUAUCUGCCGUGGGCGCUGGAGAACUGAGGGGGGCUGCUCCUAGUACGAGAGGACCGGAGUGGACGCAUCACUGGUGUUCGGGUUGUCAUGCCAAUGGCACUGCCCGGUAGCUAAAUGCGGAAGAGAUAAGUGCUGAAAGCAUCUAAGCACGAAACUUGCCCCGAGAUGAGUUCUCCCUGACCCUUUAAGGGUCCUGAAGGAACGUUGAAGACGACGACGUUGAUAGGCCGGGUGUGUAAGCGCAGCGAUGCGUUGAGCUAACCGGUACUAAUGAACCGUGAGGCUUAACCUU
rnacentral:rRNA from 1 species